CGGCAUGCCUAACACAUGCAAGUCGAACGGAAUAAGAUUGGCUGUAGCGAUACUUUGAUCUAUUAGUGGCGAACGGGUGAGUAACACGUGAGCAACCUGCCUUUUACACAGGGAUAACAGCCGGAAACGGCUGCUAAUACCGGAUAAGACCACACCGAGGCAUCUCGGAGGGGUCAAAGCGAUUUAGCGGUAAAAGAUGGGGCUCGCGUCCCAUUAGCUAGUUGGUGAGAUAACAGCCCACCAAGGCGACGAUGGGUAGCCGACUUGAGAGAGUGAUCGGCCACAUUGGAACUGAGACACGGUCCAGACUCCUUCGGGAGGCAGCAGUGGGGAAUAUUGGGCAAUGGAGGAAACUCUUACCCAGCAAAAUGCCGCGUGAAUGAAGAAGGCCUUCGGGUUGUAAAGUUCUUUUAUUGAUGAUAAAGAAAGUGAUAUUAGUCAAUGAAUAAGCCCCGGCUAACUACGUGCCAGCAGCAGC
rnacentral:rRNA from 1 species